rnacentral:misc_RNA from 1 species
UACAACGAAAAGUGGCGAGACGAGGCCAAAUCGACUCAUUUUCGAUUAUUCUUUUCUUGUGCUUGUGGAGAGUAGGUGGACGUGUACGUGUUUGCGUUUUUAAGAAAAUUUAAUUUGAAGCAUAUUUUAAUUGCAUAACUUAAUAGCAAAAACAUUGAAAAGGCAAUUUUUGCAUUGAACAUAGAGGAAGUAUUUUCGUUAAAUAUCGGAUUAGAGUCACAUAAAUAUCAAAUAUGCCGCGCUAUCGAGAGUGGGACUUGGCAUGCAAAGUAUACGUUGGUAAUUUAGGUUCAUCUGCUUCAAAAUAUGAAAUUGAAAAUGCCUUUAGCAAAUAUGGCCCGCUGAGAAAUGUCUGGGUAGCGAGAAACCCACCUGGAUUUGCUUUUGUUGAAUUCGAAGAUCGCCGCGAUGCGGAGGAUGCAACUCGAGGUUUGGAUGGAACACGGUGCUGUGGUACUCGUAUCCGUGUGGAAAUGUCGUCGGGUCGGUCACGACGUGAUGAUAGACGCCGAGGUGGCGGUGGUGGUGGUGGAAGUACCAGUGGAGGUCGCGGUGGUGGACGCUAUAGGAUAAAGUCUACUGCUACUACUACUUCUACUAGAACUUCUACCUCCUCUUCCUUCAACAAAAACUACAAAAACAACAUCUUCACGUAUCACAACUACUGCUCCUUCUCCACAAAUCUCACCACGACAAGCAACAACAAGCUCAACUUAAUAUCGUUCAGCGACAACAAUCUUGAUAAUAGAAACAAUUUUAUCAGCCAGCUAUUUUUUUACAAAGAUCAACAAAAUUUCGACAACAACAAUUUUAGUUCAAGCGACUACCAUUAUUUUCAACAUCUCCAAAAACAACAACAAGAACCGCCACAACACAAAAAUUUCAUCAGUAAAAUUAAAAUCAUUAUUUUUGUUAUCAACACCGACACCUUGAACACCACCAACACCAACGUCACUACAAUUUUGCACCUAAAAUUUGCUCUCGUUUUCGCUGUAGUCAUUGUCAUCAACACCUAUCUAACAAUUGUUGUUGUCGUAAUAGAAAACUGUGACAGUUGUCCUGAUGUUAAGUGCAGUAAAAGAUCAACAAUCAUUAGAACAGCAACUACUAGUACAAUAACUACUGCUACUACUACUACUACUUCAGCUGCAACUGCUUCUACAGUCACUGCAACUAUUGCUACUAGAAGAAUUAGUGCAACUAGUAAAAGUGUGCUUGGGCAGCAGGCGCAGGAUCAGCAUCAGCGGCAAAAGCUAAAGCAUUUACAACAGCCAUCAUCAUUAAUACCACCAAUACCACCUUAACAACUUGAAAUACUACCACUUCCUUCUCCUUUGUAUAUGCAACUGACUGUGAUAUGAGCCCACAACACUACUACCUACAGCACAACAAAUACCAUCACCAACAACAUCAACAUCGACUUGACAAUAAAUGCACGCUCAUGAGAUAACUGAUUAGAUAAGCUGAUCAAUGUGCUUGGUCGGUAAUGUGAACUCAAAGCAAUAUCAGCUCGUUAAUCACCAAUCGCAUCUGCAACACCUGUUUCUACUAAAUAAGUGAAAACGUGUGCUCUUCUCAGCAACAACUAUCUACUUGACAUCCGCCUUCUACUAUGGUCCUCCUCCUGUGCGGUACACGGGAUCGUACUUCAUUUGGUUAGAAUUGCAUCCAUUUUGGGUUAGCCGGCCGAUCGGUUAAGCCUGAUCAUGAGGCCGUUGUACAUCAUGCUACACAGCGUUCCAACAAUCCAGCUUCACUCCUGAUCUACAAGGUCGUCAGCCUAAAAACCCGAACCCACAUUUCAUCAAGGACAACAGCAACUCUACCUCUCCGCUGAUGUACAAAAACGAGUGGCAAUCCAAAUCAAGGCUUUUAUAUCUACUUUACCAUCCCUGUCAUAUCCGCUAUGCGCAACGACCGCUUCUGAGCAUCAUUGUCACUGACGACCGCCAAGUUUGCAUACAAGAUUGUUUUGUCAAUAGUUGAUUUGCAAUUUUCAUGAUCUCCUCUCAUUUUCAUUCGAAGUAGUCAUCAUAGAUCAGUUGAAUAUCGAACUUAUUUCAUUAUCACCAAACCGCCACAACCACUACUACUACUGCAACACCUCAACAAAUCAGUCAGAACCAAUAAGUGAACAACUAAAUUGGCAACAUUUAUUCGUGGUAGGAAUUUCACAGUCAAUCAACAGUAAUUCUCUCUGCCCCAGAAAUUCUGCAAUCAGUCGACAACAUAAGAGCGGCUCGUCAUUUUACGGCUCAACAAAGCAGCAUUCAGAACUUUUAAUUGCAUUAGCAUAAUAUUGAAAAUACAAAGAAAAAUGCAACUUCAUCGUUUUCGGGGUUGAAUUUAUGGCCAACAGACCGUAUGAAAGAUACAAACAGUUUCACCAUAAAGGUCGUUGAAGUUGAAGCAACUACUGUGGUGCUACUGGUUGGAUUAAUGUGAAACAAUAAUUCGAGCGAGCAGUGUGGCUAGAAAUUAUUGCAAAAUAAUAUGCAAGUCACUCUCAAACUGUUGUAGUGGUAUGAGUGUGGCAAUUAUUUUUGUUUUAAUAUUUUGCAAUAAAUUGUAUUUCCUGCCCCGCCGGAAUUACUUGUUUGAACAAUAGCCAAAGAUUGGUCAACGCUUUUCCUAUACAUCGUCCUAUACAUAAUGCAAAUUUGCCUUUCCUGAAAUCCUGUCAGCAACGAUGAACAUCAUAAUUCUCAUCGAAACUACAAUGGUAGUAAAUUAUAAAAAAAAAAAAAAAUGCUUACAAAAUAAGCCCAUCUAAAGUGUGGAUUUUGUGAUUAUGUGCUUCCUUAUAAAUUAUUCCAUUCGACAUUUAAAUAAACUUAUUUUUCUUUUUAUAUAACAAUUUCUUACAGAUCUCGCUCUCCACGUCGCACACGCAGCCGUUCCCGCAGUUUUUCGAGAGACAGACGCAGCCGAUCGGACUCCCGUGAUCGUCAUUAGAUAUAGAAUUUUUAAAUUUCUCAAAGUGAAUUCCCACAAAGAAUCUAUUUUCUUUACCCAAUAUCUACAUUUUAUUAUCACAUAGAAAGAGAGAACUUAUCAUAAAGUAAGUUUUAGAUUUUGAGAGUUAAGAAGUAUAAGUGAGAAGAUCCGGUUGCAGCA